AUCCAAUACUCACACACCAAUUGAACUAAAUUUCCUUGGUGGGCUAUAUAUACAUAGCUUUCUACAAACCUAUGUGGGAAAACAUGUGUUGCAUAACCCUCUUUCAUCUUCUUGAAUUCUGCUUGAGAGAGGGUGAAACACAAAAACAUCUAAGAUACCGCUCCAGCUUCUGAACAAAACACUCAUUCGUUGCUUCUCUUCGAUCCCAUCAACAGGUACUUUUUUGGGUAUGUCGUGGUCCACUUCCAUUGCGCGUAGGAAGGAUUAUUGCACUUCAACUCAUCAGUUUGUUUUUCUUCACGCUUGUUUCUUUUUAAUUUUCACCUUUUUCUUGUUAUCUUUGGUGUCCAAUGUGAACGUAAGAUCUUUUUCUGUAUUUGAUAUUGUUGGGAAUUUUUUCGUUUAUAACUAGGUUUGAUGUCAGAUUGCAACAUGCAUGAUUUUUCCUUUGUUUGGUUAUGUCCCGAUCUGUAAUAUGUUCGUGUGGAUUAAGUGCAGCAGAAGAGGAUCACGACGCACCCAAAAAAGCAACAGUUGAUGGGAUCGUAAAGGACCACUGAAUCAGUAUUUUCUUCAACAUGUGUUUCCUCUCCAUGCCACUUCUGUUAUUUUUCUCUCCCUCCCUUUCAGCUAAACUCCAUCGAGCUAAUGACAACGAUGAAUGAUCAAUUAAUUUGGAGAGGAGAUUGUUUCGGGAAACAACAACAUUCUUAACAUUAUUAGAAAGUUCCACAUCGUCUGUCUCAGUUCUUGGGAUACAACUUAUAUAUCUGAUGGACAACUUCACUUAAUGCCAAUUGAUUUUAAGUUGAAAUCUAACAUGAUAUAAGAAGUCCACAAUGCCUGUCUAGAUGCACAUACGGAUACAAGUCAGGAAGAGAGACACCGUUCUCAACAGGUUGUUACUAAUGUGGUAGUAAUGCUGAUGAAAAUUGUCAAGGUAUUUCCCUCAAACUACACCUUUUAGAGAUAUAUUACAUCUUUUAAGUUAGGGACUAUUUUGCAACACUUAUGCAAAGAUAGAGACUAUUUUGAAUUUUUCAUUAAGUUAGGGACUAAUAUGCAACAGGUGUACAAAGUCAGAGACUAAAUUUCCUAUUUACUCGUUUUGUUAUCAUCAAA